CUUAAAUGAGCGCCGUUGAAAUCAUGCGCUCACAAUAUGCGCGCGGGUUUGGGUCGGGUCGGACCCGGGACCCGAGACCCGAAUCCAACUUAUAUAUAUAUAAAAAAAAAACUAUCUCUCUCCCUCUUUCCCAAAAGUUCCAGCCGCCUCCCUCCAUUUUCUCCCUCUUUUCCCCAAGCUCCAGCCGCCGACGUUUCCUCCAGCUCCGAUCGCCGGUCGCCGGCGCCUGCGACUACGGUAACCUCGUAAAAGGUGGCUACGGCAAGGCCACCGCCGCCCUCAACACCGUCCUCGUCGAGGAAGUCCAGAUCUGCGUCCACAAGCUCCAGCCGCUGACGUUGAGUACCAUCUGCCGCAGUCCGGCGAACCUGAUCCCGGACGCGGCAAACCCGGUAUGGAUGAACAAAGGCGACAACGCGUGGCAGCUGACGGCGGCGACGAUGGUGGGGCUGCAGAGCAUCCCGGGGCUGGUGAUUUGAGAAACCCUUCUCACGGCCAAAUUGGCGAUAAUCCACCUGGUGCUCCUGCCGAAGAAGUCGAAGAAGGCUGGGGCCGCCGAGAGAGGUCAGAUCGAUCGCCGAGAGGUCACCUUAUUUGCACCUAAUUUUCCUUCUCUUUCUCCCCCUCUCGCCUCCAAUUUUCGCGGGAUUUCUCGCGAGUCGCAUCCAAUUUCGAAGGGUUGAGGUCGAUUAGCACGGGGUUGAGGCCUCUUGCUGCGAUCUCAAAAGCUAGGGCUUUCCCGAUGCGCCAGUGUCAAGGACGGUGUACAGCCCGUUCCCGGAGCUCUCUGCUGCCAUCCCCAGCCUAUUAGCCUGUUUCUGAUUUCGCAGAGGUGCAGGAACCUCACGAGAUUGAAGCUCCGAGAUCAUAGUUGCUGGAAAUGAAUUAUGCCGGAAAUAGGAGGAUAUUCAACAAGGAAAACAAGAGGAUUGUGUGUGCAAUUUAGUUAUUGAAUCUUGUAGUUUCAUUAUAUAAAUGAUAUAGUUUCAUUCCAAUUCUUGUAGUUUUAACUUGCAUUGUUUCAUUAUAUAAAUGAUAUAGUUUCAUUCUAAUUCUUGUAGUUUUAACUUGCAUUAAGUUUCAUUCCAAUUCUUGUAGUUUUAACGUGCAUUGUUUCAUUAUAUAAAUGAUAUAGUUUCAUUCCAA